GGAAUCACCAGCCUAGAAGUCCGAUACAUCGACAACUCCAUCGGCGAUGGCAUCAAUAUGUAUUGAGCUUGCUGGACCAAUAAUUUCGUUGCCGAUGAAAGUUUGUCGGUAGCAAAUUUCGAAUAUUUGUUCAUUUACCUGGCGAUUUCCAUGUAUUUGAUUACAACUGGAUGCGAUUUCUGAUGAGUUCUAUGCACAUGUAUCACUAAUUCCUGACAAUCAGGGAGCACUUGCUCUGGACAUUGGAAGAUUAUAUGGAAUGGGAGUUUUCUCUUAUGUGGUAGUUUAAUCGAUUGCUUUAUUAAAAUAUCCAACUAUAGUUAUGUGUUCAAACUUCUUGGUUCUGACAUUUACCUUGACAACAA